ACGGGAGGCAGCAGCUAAGAAUAUUCCGCAAUGGACGAAAGUCUGACGGAGCGACGCCGCGUGGAUGAUGAAGGCCGAAAGGUUGUAAAAUCCUUUUUAAUCUGAGGAAUAAACCUUGCAGGUAAUGGCAGGGUGGUGACUGUAGGAUUGGAAUAAGCAACGGCUAAUUACGUGCCAGCAGCCGCGGUAACACGUAAGUUGCGAGCGUUGUUCGGAAUUAUUGGGCGUAAAGGGCAUGUAGGCGGAUCGGUAAGCUUGGAGUGAAAUCCCGCAGCUCAACUGCGGAACUGCUUUGAGAACUGCCGGCCUAGAGUUAGUGAGGGGGAACCGGAAUUCCAGGUGUAGGGGUGAAAUCUGUAGAUAUCUGGAAGAACACCAAUGGCGAAGGCAGGUUUCUAGCACAUAACUGACGCUGAGGUGCGAAGGUGCGGGGAGCAAACAGGAUUAGAUACCCUGGUA
rnacentral:rRNA from 1 species